rnacentral:rRNA from 1 species
CCUACGGGGGGCAGCAGUGAGGAAUAUUGGUCAAUGGACGAGAGUCUGAACCAGCCAAGUAGCGUGAAGGAUGACUGCCCUAUGGGUUGUAAACUUCUUUUAUAUGGGAAUAAAAUGUUCCACGUGUGGGAUUUUGUAUGUACCAUAUGAAUAAGGAUCGGCUAACGCCGUGCCAGCAGCCGCGGUAAUACGGAGGAUCCGAGCGUUAUCCGGAUUUAUUGGGUUUAAAGGGAGCGUAGGUGGAUUGUUAAGUCAGUUGUGAAAGUUUGCGGCUCAACCGUAAAAUUGCAGUUGAAACUGGCAGUCUUGAGUACCGUAGAGGUGGGCGGAAUUCGUGGUGUAGCGGUGAAAUGCUUAGAUAUCACGAAGAACUCCGAUUGCGAAGGCAGUUCACUGGACUGCAACUGACACUGAGGCUCGAAAGUGUGGGUAUCAAACAGGAUUAGAUACCCCUGUAGUC